ensembl:lncRNA
GCCCAGUUGAAUAGAAAUGAUAUCUUAUCAGGUCCAGCCUGAAGGAGAGGGCUGUUAGCACUAAAAACAUGCCCCUUCCUUCCUUCUCACCUGAUUAAAUGCCCUCGGGUUUGGCCAAUGUUUUUCUUUUUUUUUUCUUCUCUUUUUCCCGUUUGCUCACUCUCCUGUUUUUCAUUAGCGUUGAAGCCUUCCAUUUGUUAUUAGUUUUUUAAACUAAUUGUGUCCUUGAAAAAGCCUUUCCAUCUGUCUGGCAAAACAAAACAUAACAAUUAGCCUUAAGAAAACCUCACAACCAUUUUUUUUGGCAGAGGUUUAUUAGUAUUUAAGAUUCUCUGAUGAAUAUUUUAGAGAUUUUAGACAUAGGUACCAGUCAUUAUUUAUAUUCUUUAUUCUUUCUGUUAUUUAAACAAAAAUAAACUAACAAACAUACAACUUCGUGUGUGUAUGCUGAGAAGGAAAGAGAGAAAUAGAAAUACAGAAUAUGGAAUAUCCAUUUACACCAAAGUUCACAACACACACAAGGCCACUGCACAACAGCCAGAAGGGGUCAAAGUUCACGUCCUCCACAGCCACCACCAACCAACCAGCAUGUCAAACAGAACUACAACACCCACGAGCUACCAGAGAGAGCCAUCUCCACGGCAACACCAAUCGCAAAACAAAAACCACACUAUAGAUAUGAAACAUAGUCAUAGACAGAGAAUAGAAAUGUGUAUAGUGAAACACAGAUAGAGUAUAGACAGAGCAUAGAAAUGUGUAUAGUGAAACAUAGAUAGAGUAUAGACAGAGAAUAGAAAUGUGUAUAGUGAAACAUAGAUAGAGUAUAGACAGAGCAUAGAAAUGUGUAUAGUGAAACACAGAUAGAGUAUAGACAGAGAAUAGAAAUGUGUAUAGUGAAACAUAGAUAGAGUAUAGACAGAGAAUAGAAAUGUGUAUAGUGAAACAUAGAUAGAGUAUAGACAGAGAAUAGAAAUGUGUGGAGUGAAACACAGAUAUAGACAGAGCAUAGAAAUGUGUAUAGUGAAACACAGAUAGAGUAUAGACAGAGCAUAGAAAUGUGUAUAGUGAAACACAGAUAGAGUAUAGACAGAGCAUAGAAAUGUGUAGAGUGAAAUGUAGUUAUAGACAGAGCAUAGAAAUGUGUAUAGUGAAACAUAGAUAGAGUAUAGACAGAGAAUAGAAAUGUGUGGAGUGAAACACAGAUAUAGACAGAGCAUAGAAAUGUGUAUAGUGAAACACAGAUAGAUUAUAGACAGAGCAUAGAAAUGUGUAUAGUGAAACACAGAUAUAGAGAGA